AAAUGGUGCUUGCUCGCUGUUACAGCGAACCCAAACUGCAACACACAUUCGUACCAUGCACGACCGGGGAGGCGUCCAACCACGCCCAUGUGUAAGUGGUGCUAGGCGGCGUCACCAACUGCCGCCUCGAACAACGCGAUCGCGAGCUCCUGUCGAGGUGCCGUUUUGGAUCAAUAAAAGGAUGAACUCACCUUACGCCCAUUUCCUUCACCGUUCUGGUGGUUGAAGCUUCCGGUUAUCUUUCAGGUGAGUUCCGGCUCAUCGCCCGUGGACUCGGACGCCACUCCGAGCCCGUAACUGCGAGCGACCCGC